rnacentral:rRNA from 1 species
CGCAGGACAGUUGCAUCUGCACCCACUUGCACUGCUACGCAACAUGCCGUGGUCGACUCCUCGGGAACGAACAAGGCACCACAACACAAGAACGUUAUCCUCCCAGACCCCCGUGUCCACGACUCCACGUGUUUGCACUCUCCCAGACCCACCCAGAGGCCAGAGCUGCAUAUCUCCGCCCCGCCAAUCAACGUCUCCCAGUAGCAACCUCACGCAUGGAGGAGAGGGAGCAUGGUGCAGCCCAAGAGUAGGCCCCGCGAGUGAGCCCGCCCGCCCUCCGCCCUGCCUGCCAUGGCAGCCUCCCUCCUCCUCCUCUCCCCCUCGCCUCACUGCCACUGCAUUACCACGCCCACCAGGGGAACCGGAACGCCGCUGCCUUCCCCGCGGUGCCACCCACCAGCUCCGCGGCGCCGGCCGCGGCCGCGGGGCGCGGGGCUGGUGGCGAGAGGCGCCGCGGUGCCUCCCGAGCAAAGCUUAGCGCCUCACUACGAGACUCUGGGCGACGCCAAGUCUGCGCUGUACCAAGCUCUGGAAGGUAUCGACAGAGGAAUAUUUGGCAUAACCUCCGCGAAAAGGUCCGAGAUUCAUGCUCUGGUGGAGCUCUUGGAGUCCCGGAAUCCUACACCGAAUCCCACCGACAAAUUGCACGACAAGGUGGACGGCUGCUGGAGGCUCAUCUAUAGCACCAUCUCGAUUCUGGGGAAAAGGAGAACCAAGUUAGGCCUGCGAGAUUUCAUCAGCCUGGGGGAUUUCUUCCAGAUAAUCGAUGUCAAGGAGGUUAGUCAAACGUUGCCCAUCAAAUUUCAGCAAACCAAUGCUACAUUUUUCCUUUUCCUUUUUAAUUUGUUCUAUAAUUCUUGUAUGUAUGUACUCUGUAGCCCCAACUGUACAAUUUAUGCUUUUACAGCUGUGUAGCGUAGAUUUUGAAUAGUGUAAUGUUAAAUGAUAAUCUUGUGCCCUGAACUUAGCAUUGAAAUGCAACGAAAUUAGGAUUCAUACACAAUGCCAGAAACAUAGGAUUUGUGUUUUAACUGUACAAGUAGUUCAUGAAACUGAGUGCUAUUGUAAAGAUUCUAGUACUUCCCAACCAAGUAAGUUUUGAUUGUUGGUAUAUCUUGAAAUAAAUGGAGAUUUAGCGUCACUUCUGUACACCCAAAGGAAAAGGCGGUGAGUGUCAUAAAGUUCAGCGCAAGAGCAUUGAAGAUAUUCUCAGGCCAACUUGCUAUUGAAGCAUCCUACACUAUCACGACAAAAACACUUGUGGUGUCUUGUUUCAGAGAGUGGGUAUCAAGCUUGAGAGUUCAACAAUCACCCCAGAUCAGUUGAUGAAUAUCUUCCAGAAGAACUACGACAUGCUCCUUGCCAUAUUCAACCCAGAAGGUUGGCUUGAGAUAACAUAUGUUGACGAAUCUCUACGGAUCGGCAGAGAUGACAAGGCAAACAUCUUUGUUCUGGAGAAAACAGACCCAUCUCAAGUGUAAGAAGAUCUACGAAGCAAAAUGUGUGCAAAUAUUCGUAAUUUCUGACAAUGAGUGCAUCGACACUCAGAGAAGAGGCCACAUUAACGUAUUCCGCGGCACAAAUGAUUGUUAACAGCUCAGUGCAGAUCAUCGAUUCAACCACUCAUCAAUUUCUCCUGAAAAGCAUAAGCAGCAUUCUUUUUUACGACCGUAGAAACAUUUGUUUUUUGGAUUUUUUAGCUGUGCACUGUCAAUGUAUCAAUGUAAGUAUGUAACUAUGAAAGUUCAGUUACAUAGAGAAUCAAACUGCCCCAUCAUAGGGAGCAAUUAAACAAAUAUCCAAUUUUGAAAUACAAUUUUUUUUUCAAAU